GCCCUUGUAGCUCAGUCGGUAGAGCACAUCCAUGGUAAGGAUGAGGUCUUCAGUUCGAUUCUGAACGGGGGCU
rnacentral:tRNA from 1 species